rnacentral:rRNA from 1 species
UAGGGAAUCUUCGGCAAUGGACGAAAGUCUGACCGAGCAACGCCGCGUGAGUGAAGAAGGUUUUCGGAUCGUAAAACUCUGUUGUUAGAGAAGAACAAGGACGUUAGUAACUGAACGUCCCCUGACGGUAUCUAACCAGAAAGCCACGGCUAACUACGUGCCAGCAGCCGCGGUAAUACGUAGGUGGCAAGCGUUGUCCGGAUUUAUUGGGCGUAAAGCGAGCGCAGGCGGUUUCUUAAGUCUGAUGUGAAAGCCCCCGGCUCAACCGGGGAGGGUCAUUGGAAACAGGGAGACUUGAGUGCAGAAGAGGAGAGUGGAAUUCCAUGUGUAGCGGUGAAAUGCGUAGAUAUAUGGAGGAACACCAGUGGCGAAGGCGGCUCUCUGGUCUGUAACUGACGCUGAGGCUCGAAAGCGUGGGGAGCAAAGAGG